UCAAAUUAUUAAGGGCAUACGGUGGAUGCCUUGGGACCAAAGGCCGAUGAAGGACGCGGUAAGGCUGCGAUAAGCCUCGACAAGCCGUCUAACGGGCAUAGUCGGGGAUUUCCGAAUGGGGAAACCUGUUCCGGUGUUGAGCCGGUUCACCUCAACUUUGUUGAGGAGGUAAGCGGGGGAACUGAAACAUCUAAGUACCCCGAGGAAAAUAAAUCAACCGAGAUUCCCUCAGUAGUGGCGAACGAACGGGGAAGAGCCUAAACCAUCAUGACUUAGUGGCGCGAGGGCCUAUGUCAUGAUUUGGGGGUUUUAGGGAACACCUAAGAUCACCUCGAUAGAUCUGAGGGAGUUACAAAUUCUAUUUAUAGUCGAAGGACCCUGGGAAGGGCCGUCGUAGAAGGUGAAAGCCCUGUAGACGAAAUGAAUAGAACUCCUGGAGUUUAUCCUAAGUACCACGGGGCACGGGAAACCUUGUGGGAAGUCGGGGGGACCACCCUCCAAGGCUAAAUACCUUUGGUCACCGAUAGCGUACCAGUACCGUGAGGGAAAGGUGAAAAGAACCCCUAGCGGGGAGUGAAAUAGACCUGAAACCGUAUGCUUACAGAAGGUCGUAGUCUCAAUUUAUUGGGAUGGCGGCGUGCCUAUUGAAGAAUGAUCCAGGGACUUAAUGUAUGAAGCGAGGUUAAGGAACUGUAGUUCCGGAGCCGUAGCGAAAGCGAGUCUGAAUAGGGCGACUAGUUUCAUGUAUUAGACCCGAAACCGGGUGAGCUACCCAUGGCCAGAUUGAAGGUUCGUUAACACGGACUGGAGGAUCGAACUCGUGGCUAGUACAAAAGCUUGGGAUGAGCUGUGGGUAGAGGUGAAAUGCUAAUCGAACUCGGAAAUAGCUGGUUCUCCCCGAAAUGUAUUUAGGUACAGCCUCGGGAACUAGGAGGACGGAGGUAGGGCACUGAAUGGGCUAGGGGGCGUGAGCUUACCAAACCCAAUCAAACCACCAAUGCCGUUCUGCCGAUACCCGGGAGUGAGACAGUCACAGAUAAGUGCGAUUGUCGAAAGGGAAACAGCCCAGACCACCGGCUAAGGCCCCUAAGCGCAAGCUAAGUGGGAAACGAGGUGGGGUCACCAAAACAACCAGGAGGUUGGCUUAGAAGCAGCCAUCCUUUAAAGAGUGCGUAAUAGCCCACUGGUCGAGGGGCCCUGCGCGGAAAAUGUAACGGGGCUUAAGUUUGCCGCCGAAGCCGUGGAUGACCAGACGUUUGUCUGGGCAUGGUAGGGGAGCGUUCCUCGGGCGAUGAAGGUAAAUCGUGAGGUUUGCUGGAGCGCGGGGAAGUGAGAAUCCUGGAAUGAGUAGCGUUAAUCAGGGUGAGAAUCCCUGACACCGAAAGAGCAAGGUUUCCUACGCAACGUUUAUCGGCGUAGGGUUAGUCGGUCCUAAGCCGUAGGCAAGUGCCGAAGGCGAUGGACAGCAGGUUAAUAUUCCUGCACCGCCAGUAUUUUGUUGAAGCAAGGAGGGGUGCGGAAGGGUAGGCGGAGCGUGCCCAUUGGACAUGGUGCGUUCUUUGCCGUAGGCGAUGAUCCGGGGCAGGCAAAUCCACCCUGGUAGCUGAGGGCUGAGAGAAUCGGAGCCUUAGGGUGUAAGAAAUUUCGUUGAACCCAAGCCGACUAGAAAAGCUUCGUGUGGAGAAAUAUAGGCGACCGUACCGCAAACCGCCACUGGUGCUCUGGGAUAAAAGUCCCUAGGUGUUCGAGCUAACCUCCGCUAAGGAACUAGACAAAAGGGCCCUGUAACUUAGGGAUAAAGGGCCCCCCGGUGGGUGAAGUCACUUGCUGAUGGAGCUUGCUGGGGGCGCAGAGAAGAAGUCCGGGCGACUGUUUAACAAAAACACAGGUCUGUGCUAAGGGGAAACCCAACGUAUACAGGCUGACGCCUGCCCAGUGCCGGAAGGUUAAGGAGCGCGGUGAGAGCUGCAAACUGAAGCCCCGGUGAACGGCGGCCGUAACUCUAACGGUCCUAAGGUAGCGAAGUCCCUUGUCGGGUAAGUUCCGACCCGCAUGAAUGGUUGAACGACUUGGACAUUGUCUCGGCGGAGGGCUCGGUGAAAUUGCGGUGCCCGUGAAGACGCGGGCGACCUGCGGCAGGACAAAAAGACCCCGUGGAGCUUUACUGUAGCCUGUCAUUGGGCUGGGAACUGUCACGUGUAGGAUAGGUGGGAGACUAUGAAACCUCAACGCCAGUUGGGGUGGAGUCAUCGUUGAAAUACCACCCUUGGCUGUUUUUGGUUCUAACCUUAGCAAAACUAGGGGACAGUGGCUGGUGGGCAGUUUAACUGGGGCGGUUGCCUCCUAAAGUGUAACGGAGGCGCCCAAAGGUCCCCUCAGGACGGAUGGAAAUCGUCCAUAGAACGCAUUGGCAUAAGGGGGCUUGACUGUAAGACCUACAAGUCGAGCAGGGACGAAAGUCGGGCAAAGUGAUCCUACGGCACCGUGUGGAAGGGCCGUGGCUUAUCGGAUAAAAGCUACCCCGGGGAUAACAGGCUUAUCUCGCCCAAGAGUUCACAUCGACGGCGAGGUUUGGCACCUCGAUGUCGCCUCGUCCCAUCCUGGGGCUGAAGGAGGUCCCAAGGGUCCGGCUGUUCGCCGGUUAAAGGGGUACGUGAGUUGGGUUCAGAACGUCGUGAGACAGUUCGGUCUCUAUCCGCCGUGGGCGCAGGAGGCUUGAGGGAACCUUUCCCUAGUACGAGAGGACCGGGAAGGACAAACCUAUGGUGUUCCAGUUGUUCCGCCAGGAGCAUCGCUGGGUAGCUAUGUUUGGCAGCGAUAAGAGCUGAAGGCAUCUAAGCUCGAAGCAUCCCCCAAGAUGAGGCCUCCCUCCCCGAUUAAGUUCGGGGGUAAGACAGCAGCGAGACUAGCUGCUUGAUAGGUCGGAUGUGUAAGUAGGGCAACCUAUUCAGCAUACCGAUACUAACCAGUCGAGAGAUUUGACC
rnacentral:rRNA from 1 species